CCCACACGCGACAGUCGCGCUUCCGCCGCCGCCUCUCGAGACAUUUGCACCGUCAACAUACGCCGGCCACUUGGCGGAACCAGGUCGCAGUUAGUAACACCGUCGUCGUUGCUUUUGAUGACGGCCACUGGUGCACCCAUUCGCACCGCCGCCGCAGUCGACAAAACCACCGCCGCCGCCGCCGUAACCACUGCAGCCGGCGGUUGACGACAACCGGCGGGUCAGCGUAAACCGCGGGCGGUAUGUCCACGGUGCUGCAACAACCGCCGUCCGGAGGAGCACCACAAUCGUCGCUGCUGCCGCACCUGCAUCCGCACGGCCACCACGGCCAUCACUUGCACCAUAGGCCGGCCGCCGAACUACAGGCUGCAGCCCACAACCCGGAUGUCCUGCUCGCCCUGCUAGCCCGGAACAAAGCUCUGGAAGCUAGUAUACCAAAGUGUGGCGGUUGUCAAGAAUUAAUACUAGACAGAUUUAUAUUAAAAGUAUUGGAACGCACUUGGCACGCUCGUUGUUUAAAGUGUAACGAGUGUGGAGCCACAUUAGCCGACAAGUGUUUUGCAAGAAACGGAAUGCUGUUCUGUAAAGACGACUUCUUUAAGUACGGGACAAAAUGCGCCGGUUGCGAUUUGGGAAUCCCGCCCACACAAAUAGUUCGGAGGGCUCAAGAUCUCGUCUACCACUUACAAUGUUUUGCAUGUGUCAUGUGUGGCCGUACAUUGAAUACCGGCGAUGAAUUUUAUCUAAUGGAAGAUCGGAAAUUAGUGUGUAAACCUGAUUACGAAGCCGCAAAAACGAAAGAGGGCGGAUGCCUGGAUGGUGAUCAACCAAAUAAACGUCCAAGAACGACUAUUACGGCAAAACAGUUGGAAACAUUAAAAAUGGCGUACAACAACAGUCCAAAACCAGCUAGACAUGUUAGAGAGCAGCUAAGUCAAGACACUGGAUUAGACAUGAGGGUAGUCCAAGUUUGGUUUCAAAACAGACGUGCAAAAGAAAAAAGGCUUAAAAAAGACGCUGGCAGAUCACGUUGGAGCCAAUAUUUCAGAACAAUGAAAGGUUCAAUUUCGCCUCGAAACGACAAAGACGACCUUAAAGUUGAUCUUGAUUCGAACUUUAGUCAUUCGCACGAUUUAGAAAGCAAUGACAGUUAUGGUACAAGCACGUUAACUAUAGAUCAAGAACACAGCUCUCCUUUACCCGGGAGUCAUCACCAUAAGUUUUUACCCGGCAACUCUUCACCAUCGUCACAUCAAUACAUGUCAUCACCCACUCAACACGUCACAACAUUUACAGCAGACAAUGGUUACAUCACAGUAGGUCCUACACAUUCUGCGCCUUCAGAACUAAGCGACAACAGUAGCACACAUGGUUUUGCAGAUUUCCCACCAAGUCCAGAUUCAUGGCUGGGAGAAACACCGCACAGAUAUUGAAAAUAUAUUAUCAUUAAUUAAAAUAAUGUAUUACGAAGUACAAAUCAAAAAUGUUCUUUUAACCUACCAAGGGAUAUAACAAACAUACUGACUGGGAGAACCAAGUUUUUAAAAUGUUUAAUAAUUAUUUUAUUUCCUGUGUUUGUGUGACAUGUGUAUCAUUAAUAGUUCGCGCAACAGUUUUUAUGGUAUUUCAUUAGGUUUACGCCAAGAAUCGUGUUUAGAUGUAGAUAUUUUUUCUUUUUGAUCUCGAAUUUAUAUUCAUUUAAAUGUUAUCUUUAAAUAAAUCAAAAUAAUUGUAUACAGGCUAUGGAAUUUUGUUGUUUCAACUUAAAAAUACAUUGUCAUAUAUAAAAUUAUACAUGUGUACAUAUAAUAAGGCUACAUUGUAUCAUUGUAUAUUAAGUAUUACCCUUUG
rnacentral:misc_RNA from 1 species